AUGCUGUGGUUUCUCUUCAGAACGAACAAAUCUUUCGCCUUUUACUAAAGAUUUCCGUGAAGAGGAGCAAAACUGAGUUUGUAUACCGGUAUUAGGAAUCACUAUAGAUAUUUUAGUUAU